AUGCUACUUAGGACAAGAGCACGAAAUAAGGACGUGUUGUGCUCAUAAGCAGCAUUUUGCAGUGUGGCACUCCAUUCAGCUCACACCGACUCGCCCGAAAGGUUGGCAAAGAAGAGCCGAAAUAUAUAGACGAAACGCCUUCAAGACCUUUAUCUCAGCAAGAUGAAGAUCAUUUUUAUUUUGUUCCUCGUUCUUGUUUGUGUCGUGGUCGUUGGCGCAGCACCUACAGAGAAGAUUAGUUCCUUGAAUUCGCCUUGGCCUUACGCUCUGUUGAGUUCCUCCAAUGUGCAAGACCCCAAGGCAUCUGUAUAUAGUCUUUGUUGCAGAUUACAAGUACCCGCGUGUUGCCAAGGACAAUAAAUAAAUGACGAUUUUAUGUUUCAUUUACUUCGUUGUUACUUUUUUAACCUCGCUGAGGAAUUUAUCUCUUGAAGUGAGCUAGAAAAAUAGGAAAUUAUAAACAGUUAUUUUAUGAAUAUUUACAGCCCAGGUUUAAAGGAAGUGCUUCGAUAAGGAAUUGGAGUAAAUCGUUCAAAGCGUAAUUUAAAUUUAAGCAACCUUAUGAUCAGAAGUACGUAUUCCGUGCACGUAUACAGAUAUCAUUAAUUUCACUGCAAUUAAUUCCUAGUUAUGUAAAUGAACUUAAUCGCCAUCAAAAUCAAGUAAAUUACAGAUGGUCGAAUACUUCUCAUCAAUUCUAGAAUACAGGUUGUCAACAUCGCACAACGUUUCAAUUUUGGUUUGUGUCUGCACUCAAUCUUUUUUUAAGGGAAUAAAAUUCAUCCAAUAUAAAAUGAUUUCGUUUUUUUUCUACUUUCUCGAAUCUUGAUUUGAAUACCUAUUUAUAUUUCAUAGUUUAUACAUUUCUGUUUUUCUAUCUCGAUUAGUCCGUAUCUUGAAGACCGUACUUACAAGUAGCAGGAAGCAGCAUGUAGCAUGCUACAUGUACAGUGCAACUGUUGUUGAAACUUUAUCGCGCUUUGAAAUGCUUAAAAAUAAUGCAUCCUAUUCAUCUAUACAAGCUAGAAGUAAGGGAACUUGCAUGUAGCCAACUGUCACCUGUAGGGAGUAUUCCUCGGUUCUUUGGCCUUGUGACAUCAAACAUGUGACAUAUCGGGAUAACUUCGACGUUUUGAGGCAAUAUGGUCUAUAUACAAGUUAGGAUUAGAGUAUUCAAAAUUAAUAAUUAUUGUAUGCUAUCGGUAUAAUCAAUAAUUAUUGUAUGUUAGCAGUUUAUAUUGAUAAACAUCUCACAAAAUGGAUCAAAUUACGCCAA